ACCGGUGAGCUUCCGGAGAGAGCGCGGCGGUCUCCAAAACCGUUCGCCGAAGGUUCGACUCCUUCCACCGGUG
rnacentral:tRNA from 2 species